UUGUAGCUGAUCUCCCUGUCCUAGAAGUUGAAAAUGAUUAUAUAUAAGAAACCCAUGGAUCACCACACUUAUCUCCACUGGUCCAGUAACCACCACAGAUGCACCAAAAAGUCUGUUAUCUACAGUCAUACAUUUAAGGUAGAAUGCCAGGGCACACCGGACAUCGAGGGUGUGAAGACUCAUUUUCAGAGAAAGCAUGGGGCUUCCAGGAAAAAUACAAGUUAUACAACCAAGUGAAGAAAGACACAAUUCUGACUCAUGCAAUGUGGCAGUAAGAAGGAACUGGAGAGGUGUUGACCAUCACUGCCUCUUAUAUCCUCAGUUGAGAGCACGAGGAGAGCUACUGCAUGUGUGUGGGCCAGCAGACACCGCUUUGAAGAAUUUCCAGACUUGGGUGCAUGACGCUUAUGUGUUCCCCACCUGUGGAAUACACAUAGGGAGCAGCACUCAAAGAAGAAAUCUUUCCCAACCAACCUCUUCUGGUCUUCAAGCUCAUUCCCCCUCUCCCCACCCCCAUCUCACCAAGCUCAUCAUCAGAAACAAGCUCCCCACAAACCAGGACACACAAACUCAAAGCAGCACAAGGCCCUGCCAGAACAACAGAUGCAAAAUGUGCAGACAUAUCUACACCACUACAGUUAUCAAUACUCCCCACAACACACCUUUCAAGAUCCUUGGGUCCUACGCAGGCCUAUCACAACAUGUGGUAUACCUCAUUCAGUGUAUCAAAUGCCCCAACAAUAACUAUGUGGAUGAAACUAGACUAUCGCUAUGUUCUCAAAAGAACUCACACAGAAAAAUGAUAAAAGACAAAACCACCCUAUCACCCAUAGGCACUUUUCACAAAGUGAUCAUGGCAUAUCUGACCUCUCAGUCCUAGCCCUCAAAGGAAACAUUCACAACACCUUCUAAAGAUGAACCUGGGAACUUAAAUUCAUAACUCUCCUAGAUCUUAAAAAUCAUGGUCUCAACAUGGUUUUAUGGUUCAUUACAACAAUCUGUAAGGCCCUGCCUGCUAAUAAUCCUUAACUGCCCACUUAAUUUUAAGUGGUCUCCUACAGCAUGUGUGAAUCUGCUAUGCUUAACAGUGUCUCAACUUGUCUUUUGCUUAGACGACCUGAAGAAAAGUUCUGUGAAUCUCAAAAGCUUGUCCCUUCCACCAAGAGAAGUUGGACUAUUAGAAGAUUUACUUCACCUACCUUACACGGCUACACCACCACUGCAAACAACUGGAUUAUAAUAUGCAGUUAUAUUUGAGCAACAUUAAGUACAAUCUUCUAAAGAGAUUUAAUCUUUUACGUGAAUUAAAUAGUUAGAUAGCAAAUUUAAUACAUGGGAUUGGAGAUGGCAAGUUUUUGGUUCUUCCUUAAAGCAGGGGAGCUUUCUGUGCAGUAUGAGCUCUGUAGGCAGUAUAUAUAAAUGUCUACAAUAUAGCCUUGCUUGUAAAAAUAAAUCUUUCCAGUGGGCUACUGGCACAAGAAACAUUUCCCCCUUUAUUUAGAGAUUAUAACUCAGUGUCUGGAAUUCGUAUAGGACAUUAAUGAACAAACCAAAAAAAUACUCAUUAUUCCUAAAUUCCUUAAACUGAUAUAGCACUGGAAAUGUUAAAUUCAUUGUUUUUAAACGUGGAUGCCUAACAGUAACCUAAAUCUAUAUUUAGCC